rnacentral:lncRNA from 1 species
UCCUAAUGUACAUUAAAAUUGCGCCUAGACAGGGACUAUUUUACUCUUCUAUAUCUAAAUUAUAAUUUACUGUGUAUUUGUGAGAGUGAUUGAGAAACCUGUAAAGAUACUCAAAGAUUUAUAACUAAAUAUUUUGUAUUUAUCGGAAUAUCGUUAAUCAAUUGGAUGUAAAAAAAGUAGCAUUAAAUAUCUCAGUCUUCAGCAUAGGCAGAAUAUAGAUCCAUGAAUAACACUUGUUAUGAAU